rnacentral:rRNA from 1 species
UCUUUCGGGAGACAGCGGCGGACGGGUUAGUAACGCGUGGGAACGUGCCCUUUAGUACGGAAUAGCCAUUGGAAACGAUGAUUAAUACCGUAUACGCCCUAUGGGGGAAAGAUUUAUCGCUAAAGGAUCGGCCCGCGUUAGAUUAGGUUGUUGGUGGGGUAAUGGCCUACCAAGCCUACGAUCUAUAGCUGGUUUGAGAGGAUGAUCAGCAACACUGGGACUGAGACACGGCCCAGACUUCUACGGAAGGCAGCAGUAGGGAAUCUUGGACAAUGGGCGAAAGCCUGAUCCAGCCAUGCCGCGUGAGUGAUGAAGGCCCUAGGGUUGUAAAACUCUUUCGCCAGGGAAGAUAAUGACGGUACCUGGUAAAGAAACCCCGGCUAACUCCGUGCCAGCAGCCGCGGUAAUACGGAGGGGGUUAGCGUUGUUCGGAAUUACUGGGCGUAAAGCGCACGUAGGCGGACUAGUCAGUCAGAGGUGAAAUCCCGAGGCUCAACCUCGGAACUGCCUUUGAUACUGCUAGUCUAGAGUUCGAGAGAGGUGAGUGGAAUUCCGAGUGUAGAGGUGAAAUUCGUAGAUAUUCGGAGGAACACCAGUGGCGAAGGCGGCUCACUGGAUCGAUACUGACGCUGAGGUGCGAAAGCGUGGGGGAGCAAACAGGAUUAGAUACCCUGGUAGUCCACGCCGU